rnacentral:rRNA from 1 species
UGGGGAAUAUUGCACAAUGGGCGCAAGCCUGAUGCAGCCAUGCCGCGUGUGUGAAGAAGGCCUUCGGGUUGUAAAGCACUUUCAGCGGGGAGGAAGGCGGUGAGGUUAAUAACCUCAUCGAUUGACGUUACCCGCAGAAGAAGCACCGGCUAACUCCGUGCCAGCAGCCGCGGUAAUACGGAGGGUGCAAGCGUUAAUCGGAAUUACUGGGCGUAAAGCGCACGCAGGCGGUCUGUCAAGUCGGAUGUGAAAUCCCCGGGCUCAACCUGGGAACUGCAUUCGAAACUGGGAGGGUAGAGUCUUGUAGAGGGGGGUAGAAUUCCAGGUGGAGCGGGGAAAUGCGUAGAGAUCUGGAGGAAUACCGGUGGCGAAGGCGGCCCCCUGGACAAAGACUGACGCUCAGGUGCGAAAGCGUGGGGAGCAAACAGG